UACGAUGAUCAGACUCGGCAGAGCAUAGA
rnacentral:piRNA from 1 species